rnacentral:lncRNA from 1 species
UGAGAAGUGGAGAGUCCUUCUUAAUGAAGGCUCUUAACUAUUACACAUUACCUUAAAUUCCCAAUUAGUUCUCCUAUGAUUUGAUAUCAAAUUUAAUUUAAAUUUUUAUGACAUAUAGAUAACUAGGAGUCUUUCUACUCUAAGUAUUUGAAUCACUAAAAAUUCACUUGGUGAAUUUAUUUGGCACAUGGGAAUUUGGAGUGCCAAAGGUUGGCACCCCAUGGUCUCAUGUGAUGUCCCUUGGUUCCCUAUUCAUAGAGGACACCCC